rnacentral:lncRNA from 1 species
AGACUUAGAAAUGAUGAGAUUCCAGACCAUUUCCGUUUUGAUGGCAUUGAUCACAAUAACAGCAGCCGGUAAAAAAAUGUUCAAUGUGUUUUAGUCGAUAUUUAUCAAUUGUAUCAAAUAAAAGUGUUUUAAUUGUGUAGAUAACAUUUAAAAAAUAACAAAGAAUGUUUUGAUAUAUCCGAAACCGAACAGUCUCUGCAAUUGCUUACAACAACGUUCUUUUGCUAAAAGUGUGUAGUUGUUUUAUUGGCGAUAAUACUUGAUAUUAUUGUAUUGUUAAAUAAAAAUAUUCCUUAGUAUUUUUUUUUCAAUUAAUCAAUUCAUGAAAAUCAAGUUAAUUGUCAGAUAUUCAAUUUUACAGUAUAUGCACCCUCGGAUAAGCAUGCAUUAGAUAGACAUGGAGUGGAGAAGGUUUUACUGGUCGAAAACACAGUUGGAAGAAACAUAAACAGGCGUCGUGGUGAUGGAUCUCUUUCUGUACUGGAUGUUAUUGAUGCAAAUAGACGAGCAGGAUCAAGAGGAGUUGGAACAUCUCAUGGAAUAGGCAAUGAAUUUAUUACGCAUGGGUCAUCUUCCGGUAGAAGAUUGUCUGGGGAUUCUGUUGGAGGCAGGACAUCUGUAUCUGGAAUCAUUAGAGGUUCUUCAAUUGGUUUGUCCCGUGCUUUAUCUGACGAUGAUGAUCAUUUCACCUCUGGUAGCCGAAUUGGUUCAUCUGGUCUAGCUAGAAAUGUGGCCAGAAAUUCUCAUUUGGAAACUAUUGGUAUUGGCAGUGGAGUAUCUGGUCAUUCAGGUGCAGAUAUUCUUGACGCAAUCAGUUCUGGACGAGAUGGGCGUGUUGUACUAGACACUGUUUCUGCAAGACGUAGUGGAUCAGCACGUACUUCAGGUUCAGGGUUCGUUUCUCAGUCAGUGGUCGGAGGAAAAACUGAUUGCAAAAACGACUGUUUUAGUGAUGGAGAUUGUCCAACAAACAGAUACUGUGCCACUGUUAAUUGUCAUAGGAUUUGUAGAAGAAGACUGUCUAAUGGAUACUCACCAUGAAAAGCCUAUCACCGAAAUCCAGACUAUGAACACUUUUUGAUAUCUUUUUUAAAAAUAAAAU